AGCCAGGAGCUCCCUGUCUGCUGCCCGGUGGGCGGGCGCACCUAGGGGAGGAAGGGGCACGGUUAGAAUGUGCUCAGCUGCAAGGCAAAUCCAGCGUUAGUCGGGCCUGUCUGGGUGUGUGUGUGUGUGUGUGUGUGUGUGUGUGUGUGUGUGUCAAGGUGUCUCCUCCUCGCUUGCUUCUGGGAGGGGGAAGGGCCCGUGUCCGCACAAGGAACAAGAUGACUCACUGUAGGGGACACAGUCGUACUGCACCUCCAGGUACUUGUAGGUCCCAGGACAGGGGUCGGGAAAGGCGUCAGAGCCGGCAACCACCACGCACUGGGUGCGGUUGUUACACCUGAGAGAAGAGACAAGGAGCUGAGAUAAGACAGGCCUAGAACUGGGGGCGGGGGGGAGGGGGGGCGGCAUCUAGGGCCGGGAGAGGAACGCGCCCCCCCCCAGGCUGAGAAGAAACUGUGGCGACCAGGGCCGGCGGCCUUGUGUGGGCAUCAUGUCCCGUUUCCUGCCUGCUCUCUCCUUCCCACCACACAGGUUUCUUCUGUUCUCAGCCUCAGGGCUGGGCCAGAGCUGCGCCCCAGAAACUGCCUCCCCGGCUGCCCUUCGCCAUUUUCAUCCCAUCGGAGGGUCACGCCCGCCGUUACAUCCUUGGCGUUUUUCCCGAAUUGACCAUAAGACGCGAGGCCACACGUGCGGGGACGAAGUGGCGUCUCCGCCAAAGUGCUGCUAACGAGACGCUCACGGCGCCUGUCUGCGUCCACCUCAGGCCACGUCUCAGGCGUACGUGUCUCGGCCUUUGGAUGGCGCCGCUGUGACCACGUGCAGGUAGGACACGGGCAGUCUCUCGGCCUCGUGCGGAAGCCACUCUCAGUUCCCCGAGGGGACUCGGGAGUCCCCACCCACUGCCCGGGAGCCGGGCUAGCACGUGAGGGGACUCCCUAACGACAAAACGAGGUUUCUCCUCUGCUGUCUCUCCAACCACCCACCUCAUCCCCCUGGCUCAAAACACAGAGCACUGGCCUCGGAAGGUUAAGUAGAGGGUUGCCCAGGACCCGGCAACUGCACCCCUAGCCGUGUUCCCAAAGACCCGGAAGCGGGCGCUCAAACAACUGCUUGUACGUUCACGGCAGGACCGCUGUCGCGAGAGCCAAAGUGGGGGAACAGCCCCACUGUCCGCUGACGGAUGAACGGAUGAGCCAAAUGUCGGUCCGUGCCGUGGAACAUUAUUUGGCCAUAAAAA